rnacentral:rRNA from 1 species
UACGUAGGGCGCAAGCGUUAUCCGGAAUUAUUGGGCGUAAAGGGCGCGUAGGCGGUUUGUUAAGUCGGCUGUGAAAGCCUGGGGCUCAACCCCAGAGGGUCGGCCGAUACUGGCAAACUAGAGUACGGAAGAGGUAGCUGGAAUUCCCGGUGUAGCGGUGAAAUGCGUAGAUAUCGGGAGGAACGCCUGAGGCGAAGGCGGGCUACUGGGCCGAUACUGACGCUGAUGCGCGAAAGCCAGGGGAGCGAACGGG